rnacentral:rRNA from 1 species
AAACUUUCAACAACGGAUCUCUUGGUUCCGGCAUCGAUGAAGAACGCAGCGAAAUGCGAUAACUAAUGUGAAUUGCAUAAUUCAGUGAAUCAUCUAGUCUUUGAACGCACAUUGCGCCCCCUGGUAUUCCGGGGGGCAUGCCUGUCCGAGCGUCAUUG